GUGAGGUGGCGAGGAGACAGGAUCUCCGGACCUCCUCGGGGGCGGCCUAUAGGCCCAGGCCACGAAUUUGCCAGAUUGUUAAUAAAGUUGUUACCACCACCACCACCACUCUAAACAUCAAUGACAGUCGCCAUCUUUAUAUGACAUACGCUGGCUCAUGUUAGGAUGACACUCUCUUCUAUCUGGUAUGCAUGAUAUGGAGCCAGGCGCUGCUCGCGCCACGCCCUUAUGUUAAAUCGCGCAAUAUUGCCCCUGCAUUCGCACGAGCCACGGAGGAGGGACAUAGGUUGCAGAUGGAAAAGCAAAAAUCAUGCUUAAGAUUUUUGUAGCAAGGUGCCCACAGUAACGUAAUGUUACUGGUGUUUCCAACAUCACGGAUUGCCGUCGGGACUGGGGAAAGGACUGAUGUGCCGAUCCGGUCGUAUUUUCAGUUGCAAAGUUAUGUCACGCUGACAACUGCUGUGGCGCCAUACAGGAAUAACUCAAAACGGUGUCAUUCUGGAAGCGUGACUCACACGUGCGAGCUUUUAGAUAAACGUUCAAACUCUCCUUGCUGCUCUCUCUCAUGUGUAUUUUUUUUUUCUUCUUCUUUGUGAGCCCGAGCCUCGUAUGUGUAUCCUUGAUUGAUGGGUGCUGUUACUUCCAAAUGUGUAUAGACGGCUUCACAUGAGAAUAGCCAAAUCAGUGCAGCCAUCAGGUAUACUGAAGCAUUCUCUUUCUACGUGUUUGCUUGUCGCGAAAUGCGAAAACACCCGUGUACUUAGAUUUAGGUGCACGUUAAAGAACCCCAGGUGGUCGAAAUUUCCGGAGUCCUCUACUACGGUGUGCCUCAUAAUCAGAAAGUGGUUUUGGCACGUAAAACCCCAUAAUCUAAUUUUUUUUUUUUUUUUUGCUUUUGUCUUUUCAGACACUGUACAGUUUAACUAGAGCACGAAGAACAGCCUGGGUCGUGGGAUUGUCUUCAAGCUUCCAAAGACUGGAUAAUCCUCUUGAAGAGUCAACGACCGCCUUUAGCAACACUGAACCACUCAAGUCGCGGCGUCAACAUGACACUCGUCGUCUUGACUUACAGUUCACCUUGGUUCUGUAACUGUGGACUUUUCUCAACACAAGAGCCAUCAGUUUCCCCAGCUUCAUCGAAAGGUGUGUUACACGGGAUCGUGAAGCACUGUCUUCCGCACGAAGUCCAAAAAAGGAGCGCGGAUGUGGUCCAUGAAUCCAGCUGUACAAGUAUGGCGGCCUGUUGCGAUGUCAGACCCACAUGGCACAGAUUACUUCGAGGAGCCGCUUGCACGCCGGGUCAUGUAGACAGACUACCUCCCACAUUACAUCGGGACAGAACAGGCAACUCGAAGAGGCGUCCCUUUAUCACGACUCUGCGCGGAUAACUCUUCAGAGCGAUACCUCCUCUUGUCUAGUGCGCCCUGUAUACACAUAGCGAUAUUCAGGAACACUACUCUAAGCGAGUGAAGCCGCCCAGUAAGUCAUAUCCACGCGGAGGUACGAGAGUUCUCGUGGUGCGCCGAAGUAUAUCCGUUACAUUUGAUUUUUUUUUUUUUUUUAAGUACGGGGUGCGCCGUACGUGCGCGUUAAAAUGCAAGUUUUUUUAUAUUUUUUGUACGUGCCGUUGAAGAAGAAAACAGUGAAGUGUAUUUGUUUUAUUUCUUGCACUUAUUAACACGUAUAUAGGUAAACCCUCAGGCCAUUUGGGAACAGCAAUGACGACAGGUGAUGAUAUUUCACUAUAGAGAUUAUUUUUCUAAGGACAUGUUUUAUGUAUUGAAAUACCAUAUGCUUUCUGUUACUGCUGGCUUUUUAGGCAUUCUUUUAGUCACAAGAGCUCGUUGAACAAUAAGCAUUUUCUUUUUCUCACGUGCGUUUAACGUAGCGUUUUACGCUCUAAGGUCUUUCUCUUCUAGCAACGGGGCCCAUACUCACUAAAAGCUAUCACGCUAGAAAUGUUCGUAAGAGCAAAUUUGCGCCAAUCCUGAUACUGAAUAUAUUAUUAGCGAAGGCAACCGGCCAACGGCAAACAACACUUACGAAAGGAAGCUUUGUGAACGUCUCUGUUCGUUUCUUCUUAUCGCUCCUGCCACAAGUGGCUGGCGAUAUAGGUUCGCGACUUCGAGUGAGCCAAUGGCGAAGGGCAAAAAGAAUGCGAAAUUGAAAGAAUUCUACAAAAUACUGCCCUAGGCCCCGGCAGCAACAUUUUGUAACGCCUGUUAUUUCGUAACACCCAUGUCCCGCCCGUGCAGUUCGGGAACGGCCACUCUGCGGGACCGAUAAGAAACGAAUAGAAUCGAAAGAAAAUAAUCCUUACAAAAUACGACCCAAGGUGUAUUUUCUGAGGUGUAGAUCCAGCAUCCAACCGCAGAAUUACGAGGUCGGUUAAACUCCUACGGUAAAUUAUGUGGUAUAUAUAUAUAAAGGACAUUUGACUUCUAAAAAAUGCGUGCGGCAACGCUUUUAUCUUCUUUUCUUGUGCUAUAGGACAGCAGAGUUCUCGAUUGGCAUAAUGCAAUAAUUCUAUUCCAAUGUUAUUUCUUUUCGCGUUUCGUAACUGGUCCGAGCGGCGUUAAACCCAUGUUAGCAAAGGGAUCGGCCGGCCAUGAACAGUUGAUGAUGAGAAAGGAAUAGAAUCGAUCGAAAAGAAUUGCUACAAUACCGGCCAUGUAAGGCAACUGAAGUAUAGCGUUUCCUAGAACACGAAAUUUGUAUGUACACAGCCCACGAGAGUAUUCUGCGUGCAGGUACUCGAAUAAGCGCAAAUAUAUGUCGCGGCUGCACGGGCGGUGCCUGCGAAUGAGCUCCACAUCCUGCAAUUACUGAGUCUGGAGUCUACGCAUUGCGCUUCUUCAACUCCAUGUUCGGCUUUGAGGCCGCGAAAUACUUGAGCUUUUCUUCGAGUGAAGCAUCCUAAGAAGUUUUCAUUGCAGCGGUAUUCUGUGUUAGCGUGGCACCAAAAUGUAUUAUCACUUGAAGUGGAUUAGAACAUCUUAGCUAUUACGAUCUUUUUUUUUUUUUUGUUCAUUCGUUUUCCUCGAGAUUAGUCGUUAAGGACAAUAAAUCUGCAAAAACGACGUUAGCCCUGAUUGGUGUGAGUUGUGCUGCAACUGAUCCUGUGCUGUGAUAGUGCGUGGUGAUCGUGACCGGUUGGGAUCGUCUGUCUGUGCUCACUGUCUAUAUCUGCACUUUCUUUUUAUCGUUCUGCUUCCCCUCCCCCUUUUCCCAGUAUAGGGUAGAAGAUCUAAUCUCUCGUUCUGGUUAAGCUUCCUGCCCUUCUCGUUCCCUUUGCUCUCUCUCUCGCUCUCUCUCGUUCUCCCGGUCCAGCAGAUAUGAAGGGGGGGGGUCUCAUCAAUGCAACAUAAGUCUCUCUUUCCAAAGUUUGUUGCGAUUGAGCUGAAACACCUGGCAUGUGUAUACAUGGCAUCAGGCACAGAAGCUAGCACGCAAGUGGACAGUCUUUCAUUUCUCUUUCGUGCUACUACGCCCUUAUAAAUAUUAACGGUCGCAAGUGGCCCUGUAAACUUUAGCGGCACGACGCCGUGUUUGGCGAACGGCGCGUGCAUCGGCCUGCGGGUGCUCACAAACACGUGCGACCCGCGCUCCGAACUCCCGCGGCCAGAGCCGGAAGAGUCGUGGGGGCCACUGCACAGCAAACGGUCGCGGCUGUUUUCUUGGGAACCUGCUGCGGGCGGUCAUUAAUCAGUCUCCUGUAUAAUGGAAGGCCGCGUGGCGUCAGACUCCUUCGCGGCCAGAAAACAACGACCCAACGAAGCAAACAACGACGCCUGGCGCCGGCAAGGCGAGCGGGGCGCUAAAAGGUCGUGCACCUCUUUUGGCACCGACUGCCGCUAAUCCGUCUUAAUCCGGAGGGCACGUGAUUAAUGACCAAAACGGGCGAUCUGCUCAACCUCUGGCGCGCUCCCGUUGCAAAGCACGCGCGCACCUGCUCGCACGAACAGCCCGCGUCGGCACGCCCGGGCCGCCGCCGGGGUGUCCCACAAAAAAGUCGCGGCCUCGGAAGAAAGUUGCCAGCAACACGUCAUGCCCGUGCGUCCGGAAGACUGCGCGUUUGCUGAUGCGUUAUACGAUACCUCGGAAUGAGGUCAGAAUGAGGAGCCCCAAUGUGUAGUUUGUAGAAAUCAUAAUUGUUUUGCCCUUGAGGCGUUUCCCUUUUUUCUUUUGAUUGAAACGAAAUCAAGAUCAAAGAAAUAAUUUAGACCCCUUAUUAUGGUGACUGCUGCUCGGUUCUCAUCAAAGCGAAAAAGAAAUACAAGAUACGAAGAAACGUCACAAAUUCGGAAAAUCUAGAGCCUAGUGAGCUAUAAUGGCGGUAAACGUCGUCCCUUUACCGUGGUGCCUUACCGUAUGGUGCUACCGACAGCGGUUGCACCAUACAGUAAAUUGAGCCCCGAACAGGCAGACGAGGCCGCAAUGCGGUCCGAAUUGAACAGGUCCAUAGAUUAGGAAAAAAAACAUUAGGCCCGUAUUUACGAAGCUUUUCGUCCGUAUACGUGUUCUUUGCCAUUGGCCGGUCGCCUUGGCUAAUACUAUGUCCAGCUUCAAGAUUGGAUGCAAUUUCUUCUUGCAAAGAAUUCUAGCGUAAGAGCUUUUUCUGAAUGCUAAGGCUUAGUGAAUGUUGGCCCAAGGGCCAAAUUCAGAAAGCUUUUCGUUCGUAGUGGCUCUUUUCCACUGGCCAGCGGUCUUCGCUAAUGAUAUAUCCAGCAUCAGGACUGGCUGAAGUUUUCUCUUGUAAGCAGUUCUAGCCUAAGAUCUUUUUUGUGAAUACGGUCCCAGAUGACUAGUAUACGCGCAGAGACCCAACAGGCAAAAGCGGGCUGCGUCUCACAAGACGCAAACAGAUGAGCGUGACACGCAUGUAAGACUACACAGACACAUAAAUACAAAAUGAUGAAAGCGAGUUGCGCUCACAUAACUUCACUAGUUCGCACAGUCUCAAAGAGCAGGACCCGUACUCACAAAAGCACUUAAGCUAGGAUUGUUCCUAAGAGAAAAUUAUAGCCAACCUUCAUGCUGGCCAUACUAUUGGCGAAGGCGGCCGGCCAAUGGCAAAGCGAACUUACGAACUAUAACAUCUUUGUGAAUUCGGCCACAAUUUACCAUGAAGUGCAUUGUCGAAAAUGAUGCGUAAAGCACACCAGUGCGGUACAUAUCGUACACGCUUUGUAUGCCUGUGUCCUCAAGUAAAUGUUCAAGCAAAUUCAGUGAUUUUCGCCGUGUUGCUUUCGACGGCCAAGGGCCGAGUAGUUUGACAAAUGUGAAAGGUCGAUGGGGAUUGAUUGUGUGUACUUAUUGUUCUAUAUAGCUGCCGUCUUAUGCGUGUCCUUGGAAAUCAAAGAGUAGAUGACGAACGUCCUCAUGACCAGAGGGUCAUGACCACAGGGCCAAGCCAGGGAUGACGCACAUUUUAUGCGCUGUAUACAAGGAAUAUUUUGCAUACGCUUUUCCCUCUCUUGCCUUAUUGCCAGCUUGCAAGCAUGCUGGAUGGUAUACGUAUGGGUCCGAUUAAACGGUUCAUCCCUAUGUC